rnacentral:rRNA from 1 species
GACGAACGCUGGCGGCGUGCCUAAUACAUGCAAGUUGAGCGCUGAAGGUUGGUACUUGUACCAACUGGAUGAGCAGCGAACGGGUGAGUAACGCGUGGGGAAUCUGCCUUUGAGCGGGGAACAACAUUUGGAAACGAAUGCUAAUACCGCAUAAAAACUUUAAACACAAGUUUUAAGUUUGAAAGAUGCAAUUGCAUCACUCAAAGAUGAUCCCGCGUUGUAUUAGCUAGUUGGUGAGGUAAAGGCUCACCAAGGCGAUGAUACAUAGCCGACCUGAGAGGGUGAUCGGCCACAUUGGGACUGAGACACGGCCCAAACUCCUACGGGAGGCAGCAGUAGGGAAUCUUCGGCAAUGGACGAAAGUCUGACCGAGCAACGCCGCGUGAGUGAAGAAGGGUUUCGGAUCGUAAAACUCUGUUGGUGGAGAAGAACGUUGGUGAGAGUGGAAAGCUCAUCAAGUGACGGUAACUACCCAGAAAGGGACGGCUAACUACGUG